rnacentral:tRNA from 1 species
UACUAGGGUAGCUCAGUCAGGUAGAGCAGUGUCUUGAUAAGGCAUUGGUCGUAGGUUCGAAUCCUACCCCUAGUACCAA